CCCUUAGAUGUUCUGGGCCGCACGCGCGCUACACUGUUUGAUUCAGCGAGUCUUAACCUUGACCGAAAGGUUUGGGUAAUCUUCUAAAGUCAAACGUGAUGGGGAUCGAUCAUUGCAAUUAUUGAUCGUGAACGAGGAAUUCCUAGUAAAUGCAAGUCAUCAGCUUGCGUUGAUUACGUCCCUGCCCUUUGUACACACCGCCCGUCGCUACUACUGAUUGGGUGUUCAAGUGAGAUGCUUAGACCCUUGUUGCAUGGUUCAUUAUUGUGCUCCGAAAGGAAAAAGUUUCAAGCUUGAGCGUCUAGAGGAAGUAAAAGUCGUAACA
rnacentral:rRNA from 1 species